rnacentral:rRNA from 1 species
GUGGGGAAUCUUGCGCAAUGGGCGAAAGCCUGACGCAGCCAUGCCGCGUGAAUGAUGAAGGUCUUAGGAUUGUAAAAUUCUUUCACCGGGGACGAUAAUGACGGUACCCGGAGAAGAAGCUCCGGCUAACUUCGUGCCAGCAGCCGCGGUAAUACGAAGGGGGCUAGCGUUGCUCGGAAUUACUGGGCGUAAAGGGCGCGUAGGCGGACAGCUUAGUCAGAGGUGAAAGCCCAGGGCUCAACCUUGGAAUUGCCUUUGAUACUGGCUGUCUUGAGUUUGGGAGAGGUGAGUGGAACUCCGAGUGUAGAGGUGAAAUUCGUAGAUAUUCGGAAGAACACCAGUGGCGAAGGCGACUCACUGGCCCAAUACUGACGCUGAGGCGCGAAAGCGUGGGGAGCAAACAGGAUUAGAUACCUAGUAGUCC